rnacentral:tRNA from 1 species
GACGCAGUGGCGAAGAAGCUAACGCGGCUGUCUGCAAAACAGCUAUACGCGGGUGCAAAUCCCGCCUGCGUCU